CCCAAGACCAGAGUGCAGGACUCGCUGUCCUGUAGCCUUGCCAAGACUUCACUCUUGCAGGUGCCCUCAAGGCACGACUGCAGCACUUGCUGACUCGGACCUUUUCCUUUUCACCUUCUGCAAGUAGCCAUGAAUCCAGGCAGUGACGCAGAGCACAGACCUGCGAGCGUGCCCAAGCUGGCCUGGGGGAAGGAGGAGAAAGAAGGCCCUGGAGCUGCCCCAGCACAGCAGCCUGAAGAGGUGGAGCAGUUCCAGCCACUGCAGAAGGGUGAGUGGCAGAGCUGGGCCACAGGGCUGGUGCCUGCAGCCAGCUUGGCCCCAUGCCAUGCCAUGCCAUGCCAUGCCAUGCCAUGCCAUGCCAUGCCAUGCCAUGCCAUGCCAUGCCAUGCCAUGCCAUGCCAUGCCAUGCCAUGCCAUGCCAUGCCAUGCCAUGCCAUGCCAUCCCAUCCCAUCCCAUCCCAUCCCCUGGGGCCAUGCCCAUGGACAGGAUGGAAUAGGGGCCGGGCAGACACCCCACAGCCGUGCUCCAUGCCCUGGGGCGGCGCGGGGCUGUCCCUGCCUGGGCAGCGCAGGGCUGGGCUGUGUUCUCCGGCCUCUCCCGCAGCCCCUCAGCUCGGGCUGCGCUCGCUCUUUGCCAGGUGCAGCCGUGCAGCGCACACGAGAGCAGGAACGCACCCGUGGCCGCUUCCGCAGAACAGCGCAGAUGGUUUGCAAAUUCAUGAAGAGGAUUCGGGAGGAAGAGAGCAGCGUCGUGGGCACUGUGGUCAGAGCGUACUCUCCCAUCUUCAAAACCAAGACCAGUGCUGCCCUGCUGGAUAUGCUUGUGGAGGAGGGUCCUUCCAGCCCAAAGCAAGUGAGCAGCCUGUGGCCUGGCUUUUCUCCUCCCAGCAGUUGCGUGGCCUCCCAAGCCACGCCUGCUGCUCCCUGGAAGCCUUUGAGGCCAUGGCAGUGUGGUGGCAAGGGAAGCACUUCUCUGGGGCAGCUGGGCACAUUCCUUCCUCUGGCAGCUUUCCAAGUCUCCCCUGCCUUCUCCAGGUGCCCGCCAUGGUGAGGUACAUCCACCAGUGGCUGGUGGCCAAUGAGUUUCCUGAGUACAAUCUGUACAGGCCCCUCCUGGAUCUGACAGAGGCACAGCCCUCUGACGUGGUGAUGGCUCUCCUGCGUGUGGCCCCAGUGUGUGACAGGUACGGGGCCCACGUGUCCACAAGGCUCAGCAGCCCUUCACCCUGUACAGCCUGUCCCAGGUGUCUGACCAACAGAGAAUUCCAGGGCCCUCUGGCUGCUCCCUUUGCCAGCCCUGGCCCCUGCCAGCCCCCCAGCGUGCUGCCAUGCUUCCCCCCUGCCCCUCAGGGGCCAGUCCCCACAGGGCUGGGCUGCCUGCGUGCUGCCAGUGAGGGGCAGUGGGCAGAGGCAGGGCUGGCAGAGCAGCUCAGCUCCCCGCUGCCACCCAGGCCACGCUGCUGUGUCCCAGACUCCUCUGAGACAGAGCUCUGACCCCACAGAGCUGCUUUGGCCAUGUGGAAGAGCAUCAUGUGCUCGCCCAGGACUGCAGAGCCGGCCAUGCUCGUACUCCUCGAGGUGCUGGGGAGCUGGCCAGAGCACAGCACGUGCACCUCCGAUGGGGACCACACGGCUGUCCUUGCCCUGGCUGUGAGUUUCUGCCUUUGCUGGCCCCAAGGCCACCUCUCCAGCAGCUCUCCAUCCUCCCUCCCC
ensembl:lncRNA